UACGUAGGGGGCAAGCGUUGUCCGGAUUUACUGGGCGUAAAGAGCGUGUAGGCGGCCAAGCAGGUCCGUUGUGAAAACUGGAGGCUUAACCUCCAGACGUCGACGGAAACCGCGUGGCUAGAGUCCGGAAGAGGAGAGUGGAAUUCCUGGUGUAGCGGUGAAAUGCGCAGAUAUCAGGAAGAACACCAGUGGCGAAGGCGGCCAUCUGGCUCGGUACUGACGCUCAGGUUCGAAAGCGUGGGGAGCAAACAGG
rnacentral:rRNA from 1 species